AUGGAGUUCGAGGGCGAAGGGGGCAUUGGUGUUGGUGUCGGCGGUGCCGAAGGAGACGACAGGGUGGACGAACCUACCAGAUGCCUACGCUGUGGAAUUAGCGCAAAUGCGACGCCUCAUAUGCGUCGUGGACCGAUGGGACGGCGGACUUUAUGCAAUGCAUGUGGAAUAGCAUGGGCAAAGGGAAAAUUGAGAAAAGUUAUUGAUUCUGAUGCCCCCAUAGAUGAUGCUACUGUUGCAAAAAUGGUGCCUGAAGUCGGCAUGGAAUUUGACAAUGAAGACAAAGCAUAUGAAUUCUAUAACAGGUAUGCUGGACACAUGGGCUUUAGUGUUCGUAAGAGUUCAUCGGACAAAUCAGCUGACAACAUCACAAGAUCGAGAACCUUUGUAUGCUCGAGGGAGGGUUUCCGUAAGGACAAGAAAGGAGCUAAUGGAGUUAAAAGGCCACGGCCAGAAACAAGAAUAGGGUGCCCCGCACGGAUGAUAAUUAAGAUUACAUCCUAUAAUAAAUAUCGCAUUGCUGAAUUUGUAGCAGACCAUAACCAUCAGCCAGCACCCCCAUCAACCAUGCAUAUGCUGAGAUCUCAGAGAGUGCUCACUGAGGUACAAACAACUGAAUGCAACUCCUCAGAAGAUUCCACAACACCGUCAAGGUUUUCUGGUGGAUCUUUAGUACAGCAGGCAGGAAUUUUUAGAAAUGUUAAUUUCCUCCCUGCAGAUUACAGAAGUUCCCUUUGUUCAAAGCGUAUGAAAAAUAUGCAACGUGGUGAUGCAGGAGGUGUUGUUAAGUACCUGCAGAGCAUGCAGCUAAACAAUCCGUCUUUCUUUUAUGCUGUCCAGCUCGAUGAGGAUGACAGACUGACCAACAUUUUCUGGGCCGAUUCCAAAUCUAGAGUUGAUUUCAGCUACUUCAGUGACGUGGUUUGUUUGGACACAACCUACAAGAUAAAUGCACAUGGAAGGCCAUGUCGUUCCAGAAAUCCUGAAGUUUCUGGUACUCUGUAA
rnacentral:rRNA from 1 species